rnacentral:lncRNA from 1 species
GCUUUCUUGAUGACGGCUGUCGCACAGGCACUGAGUUCGGGUCCGGUCCGUCCAGCCUCUACACAGGGCGCUCCGGGGCCCGGCGGCCGUGAAGGCAGUGCGCAGGCGCACGAGGCGAGAGGGCAAGAAAACUCGCAAGCGAGCGGAGCGGGAUUGAGGCUGUGCGGAAGGAACUCCUGCUCAGUGAACGACGCAGUGGGCAGGCGCGCGUGGCCGAGUGGGCGUGGCGGCGAUUCCGCAAACUGGGACGAGAUUCGUGGUAGGGCGGAGUGGAGACGGCCCGGGUGAUGCAUUGCGCAGGCGCAUGCGGCGGCAGGGGCGUGACGUCACGGCGCGCGUCGGGAUCGGCAGAGUAGUCCGGUCUGGUGUUCUGCUGCCCCUGCGCCAGGCACGAUGUUCGGCUCCAGCCGUGGAGGCGUGCGCGGCGGACAGGACCAGUUCAACUGGGAGGACGUGAAGACCGACAAGCAGAGGGAGAACUACUUGGGCAACUNNNNNNNNNNNNNNNNNNNGGCCUUCCUCACCGCGCUGUCCCCACAGUGGUUCCGCCGGCCGCGUGGCACUGUCCCGGGAGGACAAGGAGGCUGCCAAGCUGGGGCUGUCGGUGUUCACGCAUCACCGCGUGGACAGCAGCAGCCCGGGCACCUGUCCAGCUUCCAAGAGGAGGCCACGCGCGGAGGAGGAGGCUGAGCCGAGCACCGAGAGCCACAAGAAAAGCAAGAAGGAGAAGAAGAAAAAGAAAAAGAAAAAACAUAAGAAACAGAAGAUGAAGAAAGACAAGGAGUCCAAGAAAGAGGCUGAUGCCUCUUCCUCAUCCCCUUCUCCUGUUCGAUCUGGGCGCCAGAGGCAUGAUUCUGACUCCUCUUCCCCUUGCUGCAAGAGGAGGAAGCGGGGACAUAGCAGGGACAGUGGAAGGAACCCAUCCUACAGACGUCAGGACCGAGGCUCUGAUGCUUGAGACUGCAGCUGGGUCAGUGGAGGCCAGAGCCUUGGACCCUACCCACCACUGUACCUUGUGGGGCAUGAGAGGACGACUGGACCCUAUGUGUUCUGGGUGCCAGCUCGCUCCUCCCACCCUGUUGGCCUGCUGGACCACCCAGGGAAAGGCCUCCUGUCUGGGUUGAGGCAAAGGCUGUGUACUGUGCCUGCUGGGCCAUGUGAGCUGGCUGGCCAACUCAAGAGGAACCUGCUUUGUGGAGACCCUCCAGAUUCCUGUGAAGGGAGUCCAUAGAACUCAGCGGGUUCUGGGACAACCAUCCCUGGUCUUGCCUGCUGCCAGACAAGAUCUGCACCUGCCUAAGAGCCUUUUGCAGAGACUAGACUCCUGUGUAGCCAUCCAGGCCCAUCAGAGGUUUAGCUAAAACCAAGUGUGGUUAUCUCUAUUCCUUUUUGUAUGGACUCACUCUUUGUACUUUAAUAAAUACCUUAAAACA